rfam:Prunus persica cultivar Lovell chromosome G6, whole genome shotgun sequence.
CGCCAAUUAUGAGUUGGGUGCUUUAACCAUUCAGCUAUGGAUGCUUAGCGGGGAUCCUCGUAGAUGGUGAAUAACCAAAUUCCAAUUGAAAUGAAAUCUUGGCUGUAGUCAGCUCGUGCUGUAAGGUGUUGGGUUAAGUCCCGCAACAAGCGCAACCCUCGUGUUUAGUUGCCACCUUUGAGUUUGGAACCCUGAGCAGACUGCCCGUGAUAAGCCGGAGGAAGGUGAGGAUGACGUCAAGUCAUUGUGCCCCAUAUGCCCUAAGCGACACACAUGCUACAAUGGCCAAGACAAAGGGUUGUGAUCCUGCGAGGGUGAGCUAACUCCACAAACCCGUCCUCAGUUCGAAUUGUAGGCUGCAACUCGCCUACAUGAAAUCGGAAUCGCUAGUAAUCGCCAGUCAGCCAUAUGGCGGUGAAUUUGUUCC